GACUCUCGGCAAUGUUUAACUCAGCUCUCGCAUCGAUGAAGAACGUAGCAAAAUGCGAUACUUCAUGUGAAUUAUCAAAUCUCGUGAACCAUAGAGUCUUUGAACGCAAGUUACGCCUGAAGCCAUUAGGUUGAGGGCACAUCUUCCUGGGCAUCU